UCCGUAGGGUGCAAGCGUUAAUCGGAAUUACUGGGCGUAAAGCGUGCGCAGGCGGUUGUGCAAGACAGAUGUGAAAUCCCCGGGCUCAACCUGGGAACUGCAUUUGUGACUGCACGGCUGGAGUGCGGCAGAGGGGGAUGGAAUUCCGCGUGUAGCAGUGAAAUGCGUAGAUAUGCGGAGGAACACCGAUGGCGAAGGCAAUCCCCUGGGCCUGCACUGACGCUGAGUGAGCGAAAGCCAGGGGAGCAAACGGG
rnacentral:rRNA from 1 species